GACGAACGCUGGCGGCGUGCUUAACACAUGCAAGUCGAACGGAAAGGCCCUGCUUUUGUGGGGUGCUCGAGUGGCGAACGGGUGAGUAACACGUGAGUAACCUGCCCUUGACUUUGGGAUAACUUCAGGAAACUGGGGCUAAUACCGGAUAGGAGCUCCUGCUGCAUGGUGGGGGUUGGAAAGUUUCGGCGGUUGGGGAUGGACUCGCGGAUUAUCAGCUUGUUGGUGGGGUAGUGGCUUACCAAGGCUUUGACGGGUAGCCGGCCUGAGAGGGUGACCGGCCACGUUGGGACUGAGAUACGGCCCAGACUCCUACGGGAGGCAGCAGUGGGAAAUAUUGCACAAUGGGCGGAAGCCUGAUGCAGCAGCGCCGCGUGCGGGAUGAUGGCCUUCGGGUUGUAAACCGCUUUCGCCUGUGACGAAGCGUGAGUGACGGUAAUGGGUAAAGAAGCACCGGCUAACUACGUG
rnacentral:rRNA from 1 species